rnacentral:rRNA from 1 species
UGGGGAAUUUUGGACAAUGGGGGCAACCCGUGAUCCAGCAAUGCCGCGUGUGUGAAGAAGGCCUUCGGGUUGUAAAGCACUUUUGUCCGGAAAGAAAACGCCGUGGUUAAUACCCGUGGCGGAUGACGGUACCGGAAGAAUAAGCACCGGCUAACUACGUGCCAGCAGCCGCGGUAAUACGUAGGGUGCAAGCGUUAAUCGGAAUUACUGGGCGUAAAGCGUGCGCAGGCGGUCCGCUAAGACAGAUGUGAAAUCCCCGGGCUUAACCUGGGAACUGCAUUUGUGACUGGCGGGCUAGAGUAUGGCAGAGGGGGGUAGAAUUCCACGUGUAGCAGUGAAAUGCGUAGAGAUGUGGAGGAAUACCGAUGGCGAAGGCAGCCCCCUGGGCCAAUACUGACGCUCAUGCACGAAAGCGUGGGGGAGCAAACAGGAUUAGAUACCCUGGUAGUCCACGCCCUAAACGAUGUCAACUAGUUGUCGGG